rnacentral:lncRNA from 1 species
UGGAUCCCUAGGAAGGGGACUCAAGAAGAAAGGAAGGUUCCAGAUGCCUGAGGAGGGAGCUGCGGAUCCAGCUGCACUCAGAGCUCACUGCAUCUCAUUUGUUUACAAGGUGUUUGGAUGGUGCUGGCUCUGUUGUGUGGAGCUCAUAGGUGAAGCAUGAACAAGAGAUGCCUUUCUAGUUGGAAGAAGCAUAAGGGCUCAGCUUCCAUGAGAUGAUGCUUCAUCCUCACUGACAUCAAUGGUGAGCCUGCAGAGCACAUGCAUCCUGUGUA